AUUGAACGCUGGCGGCAUGCUUUACACAUGCAAGUCGAACGGUAACAGGCCGCAAGUUGCUGACGAGUGGCGAACGGGUGAGUAAUGCUUCGGAACGUGCCCAGUCGUGGGGGAUAACUACUCGAUAGAGUAGCUAAUACCGCAUACGAUCUAUGGAUGAAAGCGGGGGACCGUAAGGCCUCGCGCGAUUGGAGCGGCCGAUGUUAGAUUAGCUAGUUGGUGGGGUAAAGGCUCACCAAGCCAACGAUCUGUAGCUGGUCUGAGAGGACGACCAGCCACACUGGGACUGAGACACGGCCCAGACUCCUACGGGAGGCAGCAGUGGGGAAUUUUGGACAAUGGGCGCAAGCCUGAUCCAGCAAUGCCGCGUGCAGGAAGAAGGCCUUCGGGUUGUAAACUGCUUUUGUACGGAACGAACCGGCUUUGGUUAAUAUCCGGGGCUAAUGACGGUACCGUAAGAAUAAGCACCGGCUAACUACGUG
rnacentral:rRNA from 1 species